ACAAGCCUGAGAAACGGCUAGUAGGACUAAGGUCUGCAGCAGGCGCGAAACUUACACAAUGCUAGAUUACAAUUAGCGAUGUAGUGAAGAAAAAUAACGAUGUACUUCCAUUUAAACAUGGUAGUACAAUUGGAAUGAGACGACUAUAAACCAGUUAGUCGAGUAACAAAUGGAGGGCAAGUCUGGUGCCAGCAGCCGCGGUAAUUCCAGCUCCAUUAGCAUACAUUAAAGUUGUUGCGGUUAAAAAGCUCGUAGUUGAAUUUUAGGCGGGCUCUAUUGGGCUGCAACCGUUAAGGCAACUAGUCUUCGGACUCAGCUUGCUGGUUGUAUUUGUCCUAUAGGAACCCGUUGUUUCGUCACUUAAUCGAGUGCGAAGCGGGCUGGCACUAGGACACUUCGGUGUUCAAGUAUCAGCAUGUUUACCUUGAGAAAAUUAGAGUGCUCACAGCAGGCAGUUGGGGUGUAAAAGCCUCUUUUUGCUUGAAUAAUGUUGCAUGGAAUAAUAGAAUACGGCCUCGGUUCUAUUCUGUUGGUCUUAUAGAACAACAAACAAGUUGGUAGGAAGCGAUCAAAAGUCUACUUGUGGAUGUGGCUUGAGGGUCUUUUAGAAUCCUAAAGCUUGUUUUAGCUGAGUUUGGUAGUUAUGUUGCCUGCGAGGUAAAAGUCACAGAGCCAUGCUCCUCUCUCUCUACAACUGUUAGUCUUUAUCUAUUAGAUUCUUUUGUCAUUAAAGCAUUCCUUGUACGGCUAGCUUCCGAUCAACUGAGGCAAUGGUUAAAAGAAAUAGUCGCGGCGGCAUCAGUACUGCAUCGUGAGAG
rnacentral:rRNA from 1 species